GACGAACGCUGGCGGCGUGCUUAACACAUGCAAGUCGAGCGGUAAGGCCCUUUCGGGGGUACACGAGCGGCGAACGGGUGAGUAACACGUGGGUGACCUGCCCUCAGCUCUGGGAUAAGCCUGGGAAACCGGGUCUAAUACUGGAUAUGACUCCAUGACGCAUGUUGUGGGGUGGAAAGCCUUGUGCGGCUGAGGAUGGGCCCGCGGCCUAUCAGCUUGUUGGUGGGGUGANGGCCUACCAAGGCGACGACGGGUAGCCGGCCUGAGAGGGCGGCCGGCCACACUGGGACUGAGACACGGCCCAGACUCCUACGGGAGGCAGCAGUGGGGAAUCUUGCGCAAUGGGCGAAAGCCUGACGCAGCGACGCCGCGUGAGGGAUGACGGCCU
rnacentral:rRNA from 1 species